CAAACAGAUCUCUCAAAGGGCAGGAUCUUGCUGGUGUGCUUCCAUCUUCUCUGGCGAAACUACCUUACCUUAAGAUAAUUGCUUUCACUUGGAACUAUCUUAGAGGUAACAUACCAUGCGAAUGGGCUUCUAUGCAAUUAGAAUAUCUGUUAUCAGGAUCAAUCCCAAGCUUCUUGGGAAACAUUACCACUCUAAG